rnacentral:lncRNA from 1 species
ACCAGAAUGCAGGCACUCAAACUCACAUCGAAUCCCCUGCUACCCUUGCACGCUUGGUCAGAAAGACACCCACAUGCACUUGAGCCUAAUUUGCCGCACUCUUUUGAAAGAUAGGUAACCAGUCGUCUGUAAAGGAUCAAUAUAGUUGGGGUGCAGAUACAGGCCUUCCCCUAGGGAAACACUUGCAUCAGUAUUAGUGAGAGACCAAGUACACAUCUGAAGCAUUCCUGUGCUUUCUGUCCACUUGUCAGGUGAAGUUGCCACGUAUGACUGUCCAUCAGCCAGGAGAUGAACCCCCACCCGUGAGGCAGUGACUCAAGGUGCAAGGGAGUCCGGCAAGAAGUGUGGCGCACCCGAGUUGCUGCCACUGCUUUUUGGAUCACCCAGCACGAUUGAGUUGCCCAGGAUGGAAGACCAUUGUCAACAGGGAACCCGUCACACAUUCUGUGAAUCCCAGCCUGGUGAGACAAGGAGCAUGAGCCCUGGGGGCCAUUGUGCAUGCAGCUCCAUCUGUAAGAUGGAACACCCGUGGAGGCCAGGUUGAGUGGCCCAAAAUGGAAGACUGUUGGCAACAGGUUACCCAUCGCAUAUUCCAUGAUAGCCAGCCUCUCGAGAUGAAUAUCAUGAAUCCCCAGAGACAACUGGACAAGUGGGCCUUGCGUGUACAGAUGGAACAACCAUGGCGGUAAGCGGCCUUUCGUCAAGGAGACCUAGUGGU